rnacentral:rRNA from 1 species
GAUGAACGCUGGCGGCAUGCCUUACACAUGCAAGUCGAACGGCAGCACGGGAGCUUGCUCCUGGUGGCGAGUGGCGAACGGGUGAGUAAUACAUCGGAACGUACCCAGUAGUGGGGGAUAACGCACCGAAAGGUGCGCUAAUACCGCAUACGACCUACGGGUGAAAGCGGGGGACCGUAAGGCCUCGCGCUAUUGGAGCGGCCGAUGUCUGAUUAGCUAGUUGGUGAGGUAAAGGCUCACCAAGGCUUCGAUCAGUAGCUGGUCUGAGAGGACGAUCAGCCACACUGGGACUGAGACACGGCCCAGACUCCUACGGGAGGCAGCAGUGGGGAAUUUUGGACAAUGGGCGAAAGCCUGAUCCAGCAAUGCCGCGUGUGCGAAGAAGGCCUUCGGGUUGUAAAGCACUUUUGUCAGGGAAGAAAUCUUUUAGGCUAAUACCCUGGAAGGAUGACGGUACCUGAAGAAUAAGCACCGGCUAACUACGUGCCAGCCGCCGCCGUAA